UACGAAGGGGGCUAGCGUUGCUCGGAAUCACUGGGCGUAAAGCGCACGUAGGCGGAUCUUUAAGUCAGGGGUGAAAUCCUGGAGCUCAACUCCAGAACUGCCUUUGAUACUGGGGAUCUCGAGUCCGGGAGAGGUGAGUGGAACUGCGAGUGUAGAGGUGAAAUUCGUAGAUAUUCGCGAGAACACCAGUGGCGAAGGCGGCUCACUGGCCCGGUACUGACGCUGAGGUGCGAAAGCGUGGGGAGCAAACAGG
rnacentral:rRNA from 1 species